rnacentral:rRNA from 1 species
UACGUAGGUGGCAAGCGUUGUCCGGAUUUAUUGGGUUUAAAGGGUGCGUAGGCGGCUUUGUAAGUCAGUGGUGAAAUAUGGCAGCUUAACUGUCAAGGUGCCAUUGAUAAUGCGGAGCUUGAGUACAGAUGAGGUAGGCGGAAUUGACGGUGUAGCGGUGAAAUGCUUAGAUAUCGUCAAGAACACCUAUAGCGAAGGCAGCUUACUAGGCUGUAACUGACGCUGAGGCACGAAAGUGUGGGGAUCAAACAGG